rnacentral:rRNA from 1 species
UACGGGGGGGGCAAGCGGUUGGUUCGGAAUUACUGGGCGUAAAGGGCUCGUAGGCGGCCAACUAAGUCAGACGUGAAAUCCCUCGGGCUUAAACCGGGGAACUGCGUCUGAUACCUGGAUGGCUUGAGUUUGGGAGAGGGAUGCGGAAGUUCCAGGUGUAGCGGUGAAAUGCGUAGAUAUCUGGAGGAACACCGGUGGCGAAGGCGGCAUCCUGGACCAACACUGACGCUCAGACACGACAGCAUGGGGAGCGAACGGG